GGGGGCGACAGGCUUCGACGGGAGUAGUUGAGUCAGUUGAUGCAUGCCGAGGUGCCUCACCCUCGUUAAUCAGUGGCAAAACAAAUAACUGCCAACGAACAGUUACCACUCGCUGCGUAAUAUCACGUAGCCGUCUUGAUGUGCUUCGCCUGUAGGGCCAUCGGGGCGUCGUUUUUGCAGGAUAUCUGGUGCUCUUCCUUCCUUCACGGGAGUACCGGGAAUCGUUGUGAGGGGCUUCUGGCGGGUUAGUUUGCUGGUUUCAAACGCUCGUCGGAAGUAAAAAGCGAAACCGGCUAAGCAUGUAGGAUUGGCUGGCGAAGACUUUCGGACGUGGGUUCGAUUCCCACCGCCUCCACCA
rnacentral:tmRNA from 1 species